ACGGAAUCCGACGCUUGCGUCCGUGGCCCUCAUCGCCUGGACCUCCCCUUCCACCACCGCCUCCUUCUCCGCCCUCUCCUCCUCGCCCGCGUCCGUCCCCAGUCUCCGGCAGGCUCCUUACCCCCACCGUCGGCCCUGCUUCUUCCUUCUCCCCUACGCGUGAUGCCCUCAACACCGUCGCCCUCUCUUCUUCACCAUCGCCUCGCUCGCCUCCUCCGUCGUCGAGCCAGCCCUUCUCCGUAUCUGUCGCCAUCACACCCGGAUCUGCCUCCGCCAUGACCGACGACCAACGAGAGCGGCGUGAGACGGCUUUAGGCGACGAAGGCGGCCCACACCAUGUCAGCCAACGACGCACAGCGGUGGAAGC
rnacentral:lncRNA from 7 species